UAGACAGAAGCCUGUGAGGUUUAAGGCGUUUAGCUGUUAACUAGGAGUUUGUGGGAUCGAGGCCCACCUGUCUAG
rnacentral:tRNA from 1 species